AGAUUUUCUUUUGAUAGGUCUGACUGGGACUUGUUGGGUCACUGAAUCUGUGCAGAGUUACUGUGAUGAUCCAGUUCUGUGCCUGUGCCCAUCACUGCAGCUGUGCUAAGGCCCUGCUGAUUUGCAUCUGCCAAGAGCACAGCCCACUGCCUGAGCAUGUCUAAUAGCUGGUCUCAACCUGUGCAGGAGUCAGCCUCAUUCAACACACAGUAUAGCCAUGGCAGCCCCUGCUCAGCUCCUGGGGUUCCUGCUGCUCUGUCUCCAAGGAGCCAGAUGUGACAUCCAGAUGACCCAGUCUCCACCUUCACUGUCUGUUUCUCCAGGAGACAGAGUCACAAUCACUUGCCAUGCCAGUGAGAAUAAUUAUAACAAUUUACACUGGUACCAGCAGAAACCAGGGGGAGCUCCUAAGCUCCUGAUCAGUUAUGUAUCAAAUUUGCAACCUGGGGUUCCAUCCAGGUUCAGUAGCAGUGGGUAUGGGACAGAGUUCACUCUCACCAUCAGCAGCCUGCAACCUGAAGAUGUUGCCACUUAUUACUGUCAACAAACUUUUGAUUGGAAGGAUGAUGUUUGCUAUGAACAACUGCAGAAGGGUCUUUGUGGAUGCAGUAGAGAUGUUGUGCUGACCCAGACUCCACUCUCCCUGCCUGUCACCCUGGGAGAGCUGGCCUCCUUCUCCUACAGGGCUACUCAGAGCCUCCUAGAGAGUAAUGAUGCUUAUCUGGCAUGGUAUCUGCAGAAGUUUGGCCAGUCUCCACAACUCCUUAUCUAUGGAGUUUCCAACUGA